GAAGGAGGCACGUCACUUCCUGUUUCUUUAGGGGAACGUGGCUUUCCCCGCAGCGCCUGUCUUCCCUUCUGCGUCUGUACUGCAGCGGCCGGAACUGGAGUCGGACCCCGAGCGCAGCCUCGCCAUGGACUCGGCCCUUAGCGACCCGCAUAAUGGCAGCGCCGAGGCAGGCAGCCCAGCCAACGGCACGACGCGGCCGCCUUCCACGCCCGAGGGCAUCGCGCUGGCCUACGGCAGCCUCCUACUCAUGGCGCUGCUGCCCAUCUUCUUCGGCGCCCUGCGUUCCGUGCGCUGCGCCCGCGGCAAGAACGCCUCGGACAUGCCCGAGACAAUCACCAGCCGGGAUGCUGCCCGCUUCCCCAUCAUCGCCAGCUGCACGCUCUUGGGACUCUACCUCUUUUUCAAAGUUUAUUUUCCCAAUAAAAGUUACACAGGCUCAGUGUUGAAAACCUGGAAAACACAGAAAAGUAAAAAGGGGAAAACAGCAGUCAUCCAAAACCUCACUACCAGAGACAAUCACAGAUUCCCUUUUGAGAUAUUCUCCCAGGAGUACAUCAACCUCUUGCUGUCCAUGUAUUUCUUCGUGCUGGGAAUCCUGGCCCUGUCCCACACCAUCAGCCCCUUCAUGAAUAAGUUUUUUCCAGCCAAUUUCCCAAAUCGACAGUACCAGCUGCUCUUCACACAGGGCUCUGGGGAGAACAAAGAAGGUGGGAGGGGCAGCCCCGCCCCGGGGAGUGGACUUACCCGGCCUCUCUGCCCAGAGAUCAUCAAUUAUGAGUUUGACACCAAGGACCUGGUGUGCCUGGGCCUGAGCAGUGUCGUCGGCGUCUGGUACCUGCUAAGGAAGCACUGGAUUGCCAACAACCUCUUUGGCCUGGCCUUCUCCCUUAACGGAGUGGAGCUCCUGCACCUGAACAACGUCAGCACGGGGUGCAUCCUGCUGGGCGGCCUCUUCAUCUACGAUGUCUUCUGGGUAUUUGGCACCAACGUGAUGGUGACAGUGGCCAGGUCCUUUGAGGCACCAAUAAAAUUGGUAUUUCCCCAGGAUCUGCUGGAGAAGGGCCUCGAAGCAGACAACUUUGCCAUGCUGGGACUUGGCGACAUCGUCAUUCCAGGGAUCUUCAUCGCCUUGCUGCUGCGUUUUGACAUCAGCUUGAAGAAGAACACUCACACCUACUUCUACACCAGCUUUGCAGCCUACAUUUUUGGCCUGGGCCUUACCAUCUUCAUCAUGCACAUCUUCAAGCACGCCCAGCCUGCCCUCCUAUACCUGGUCCCCGCCUGUAUUGGCUUUCCCGUCCUGGUGGCACUGGCCAAGGGAGAAGUGACAGAGAUGUUCAGCUACGAGUCCUCGGCGGAAAUCCUGCCUCAUACCCCGAGGCUCACCCACUUCCCCACGGUCUCGGGCUCCCCAGCCAGCCUGGCCGACUCCAUGCAGCAGAAGCUAGCUGGCCCUCGCCGCCGGCGCCCGCAGAAUCCCAGCGCCAUGUAAUGCCCAGCGGGUACUCACCUGCCCGCUUCCCCCCACUGCCCCGAGGCCAAAGUUAUGAGGAGUCAAAUCCUAAGGAUCCAGCAGCCGCGACAGAAUCCAAAGAGGGAACAGAGGCCUCAACAUCAAAGGGGCUGGAGAAGAAGGAGAAAUGAUGCGUCUGGUACCAGACCUUCCGAGGGCCGGACCAGGCGGGUGGGCAUGGACCAGCACAGGCCUGCACGUGCAGAGGGCACCAGAGGCCUGGCAGCUGCAGAGAGGGGCAGGAGCAGAGGGAUCCCACCAAUGAGGCCUCUGUGGCCUGGUUCCCUCUCCCACUUCUCUGGCCUUCCUCUGCCCCUCCCCAUCCCUUGCAGGCAAAGGAAGCCUCCAACUUCCCCCACUCCCCCAGGUGCCAGGUGGGAAAGUGGGUCUGAUUUUUAGAUUUUUGUAUUGUGGACUGACUUUGCUUCACAUUAAAAACUCAUCCCAUUGCCCGGGCAGGCUGCUA